rnacentral:rRNA from 1 species
AGUGAACGCUGGCGGUAGGCCUAACACAUGCAAGUCGAACGGCAGCACAGUAAGAGCUUGCUCUUACGGGUGGCGAGUGGCGGACGGGUGAGGAAUACAUCGGAAUCUACUUUUUCGUGGGGGAUAACGUAGGGAAACUUACGCUAAUACCGCAUACGACCUACGGGUGAAAGCAGGGGAUCUUCGGACCUUGCGCGGUUGAAUGAGCCGAUGUCGGAUUAGCUAGUUGGCGGGGUAAAGGCCAACCAAGGCGACGAUCCGUAGCUGGUCUGGGAGGAUGAUCAGCCACACUGGAACUGAGACACGGUCCAGACUCCUACGGGAGGCAGCAGUGGGGAAUAGUGGACAAUGGGCGCAAGCCUGAUCUAGCCAUACCGCGUGGGUGAAGAAGGCCUUCGGGUUGUAAAGCCCUUUUGUUGGGAAAGAAAAGCAGCAGGUUAAUACCCCGCUGUUCUGACGGUACCCAAAGAAUAAGCACCGGCUAACUUCGUG